UACAGAGGGUGCGAGCGUUGUCCGGAAUUACUAGGCGUAAAGGGCAGGUAGGUGGUUUGGUAAGUCUGUCGUUAAAACGUUCGGCUCAACUGGACGAGGUCGACGGAUACUGCCAGGCUUGAGUGUGGGAGAGGGUACUGGAAUUCCCGGUGUAGCGGUGAAAUGCGCAGAGAUCGGGAGGAACACCGAUGGCGAAAGCAGGUACCUGGACCAUUACUGACACUCAGCUGCGAAAGCUAGGGGAGCAAAC
rnacentral:rRNA from 1 species